ACGAACGCUGGCGGCGCGCCUAAUACAUGCAAGUCGAGCGAGAACGACGUAGCGAAUACGUUGUAAAGCGGCGAACGGGUGAGGAAUACAUGGGUAACCUACCCUCGAGUGGGGAAUAACUAGCCGAAAGGUUAGCUAAUACCGCGUACGCUCCUUGGACUUCGGUUCAGGGAGGAAAGCGAUACCGUGGGUAUCGCGCUCUUGGAUGGGCUCAUGUCCUAUCAGCUUGUUGGUGAGGUAACGGCUCACCAAGGCUUCGACGGGUAGCUGGUCUGAGAGGACAAUCAGCCACACUGGCACUGCGACACGGGCCAGACUCCUACGGGAGGCAGCAGUAAGGAA
rnacentral:rRNA from 1 species